rnacentral:rRNA from 1 species
AUGCUGGACUGCCUCUGCCUGCACUGCACUGCAUGCAUAAAAUCAGAAACCCUUGGCACCCCUAUCCUACUGUCACAUACUGAAUCUCCCACAAGAGAGAGAGAGAGAGAGCACAUGUCUAUCUGCCGUGGUCUUCGCCGGCUGCCACAGCUGAGUGGCCAGGCCCAACAUGCCGAGGUGCAGCUACUCCAAGAAGGCUUCUUCGGUUCUGGCUCCGAGCGCGCCAUGUCCGCCGCACCGCUCCGGCGCCGGCGGAGGUGGACGUGCGCACUGCCUGAGCAACAGCCUGAUGAUUCCUUGUACACCGUUUACUCCUCCAUCCUCGACGACGACGACCAGUCGGGUGCCGGCGGCAUCACGCUCUCAACACCAGCAACAUCUUCUUCUCCUGCCUUCUUUAUAGCUGUCGGUGCUGUCGCUCAAAAGAUGAAUGGGAAUUGA